rnacentral:rRNA from 1 species
AGCGAACGCUGGCGGCAGGCCUAACACAUGCAAGUCGAACGGAUCCUUCGGGAUUAGUGGCGGACGGGUGAGUAACACGUGGGAACGUGCCCUUUGGUUCGGAACAACUCAGGGAAACUUGAGCUAAUACCGGAUGUGCCCUUCGGGGGAAAGAUUUAUCGCCAUUGGAGCGGCCCGCGUCUGAUUAGCUAGUUGGUGAGGUAACGGCCCACCAAGGCGACGAUCAGUAGCUGGGUUGAGAGGAUGAUCAGCCACACUGGGACUGAGACACGGCCCAGACUCCUACGGGAAGCAGCAGUGGGGAAUCUUGCGCAAUGGGCGAAAGCCUGACGCAGCCAUGCCGCGUGAAUGAUGAAGGUCUUAGGAUUGUAAAAUUCUUUCAGCGGGGACGAUAAUGACGGUACCCGCAGAAGAAGCUCCGGCUAACUUCGUG